rnacentral:rRNA from 1 species
AUUGAACGCUGGCGGCAGGCCUAACACAUGCAAGUCGAGCGGAUGAGAAGAGCUUGCUCUUCGAUUCAGCGGCGGACGGGUGAGUAAUGCCUAGGAAUCUGCCCGGUAGUGGGGGACCACGUUUCGAAAGGAACGCUAAUACCGCAUACGUCCUACGGGAGAAAGCAGGGGACCUUCGGGCCUUGCGCUAGCAGAUGAGCCUAGGUCGGAUUAGCUAGUUGGUGAGGUAAUGGCUCACCAAGGCGACGAUCCGUAACUGGUCUGAGAGGAUGAUCAGUCACACUGGAACUGAGACACGGUCCAGACUCCUACGGGAGGCAGCAGUGGGGAAUAUUGGACAAUGGGCGAAAGCCUGAUCCAGCCAUGCCGCGUGUGUGAAGAAGGUCUUCGGAUUGUAAAGCACUUUAAGUUGGGAGGAAGGGCAGUAAGAUAAUACCUUGCUGUUUUGACGUUACCGACAGAAUAAGCACCGGCUAACUCUGUGCCAGCAGCCGCGGUAACAC